AAUUGAACAAAAAUGAACGAAAGCUAACAAAACACAAAAAUUGGUCAGAAUCCUACCAUACUAAAGGGACUGAUUUGAAUGGAAACCUCGACGCACUGCAACUCGACGACCUCGACUGUGUAUGAACUAUUUCGACAACCCCGACCAAAGCUCGAAUAAACGAAAUGGUGAGGUCUCAUUUUGGUUUUGGACUGAAGGUGACGAAAACAAAAGUGAAGCAGCACGAUUUGGUUUUAAGUCCACCUGCUUGACAAAGCAGCAACAUUACAUCCCCAAGCAGUUGCUGAACAGGCUAUGGCAGCAGCAACGUAGCAGAAGCAGAAGCAGAAGCAGUCGAGGCAGCUGGUUGAAGACGAUGACAACGAAGUGAAACAGAAGCAGUCGAGGCAGCUGGUCGUUGUUCGUCGAGGAAGUAGGAGGUAGCAGCGGCGAGCAUGGGAUGGUUGUUGGCGGAGCUGCUUGGACGUAUCAGAAGACGCAGCGACGCAGCAGAAGUGACUGUUUCAGGUGGUCGUCCGAUAUGGUGAGGAGGGUCUACUGUCGAGGCCAAUGAAGAAGAUGAAGGAGUAGCCAUGGCUGCCAUGGGAGCUCGAGCUUGAGCUUGACGACGAGGAAGAUGAAGGCAGAAGCAGCUGGGUCUGUUUGGAUGUAGCAGAAGCAAUAAAAACGCAGCAGCCAUAGGAGCUUGACGAGCUCGUCAAUGGCGGAUGUUGUUCGUCGAUGAAGAUGAAGCUUGGGGCAACAACUUUUGGUAUUAUGGUUGUUUGGAGAUGGACGACGGGA
rnacentral:lncRNA from 1 species